rnacentral:rRNA from 1 species
GACGAACGGUGGCGGCGUGCCUAAUACAUGCAAGUAGAACGCACAGUAUAUACCGUAGCUUGCUACACCAUAGACUGUGAGUUGCGAACGGGUGAGUAACGCGUAGGUAACCUGCCUGGUAGCGGGGGAUAAAUAUUGGAAAAGAUAGCUAAUACCGCAUAAUAUUAAUUAUUGCAUGAUAAUUGAUUGAAAGGUGCAAUUGCACCACUGCCAGAUGGACCUGCGUUGUAUUAGCUAGUAGGUGAGGUAACGGCUCACCUAGGCGACGAUACAUAGCCGACCUGAGAGGGUGAUCGGCCACACUGGGACUGAGACACGGCCCAGACUCCUACGGGAGGCAGCAGUAGGGAAUUUUCGGCAAUGGACGAAAGUCUGACCGAGCAACGCCGCGUAAGUGAAGAAGGUUUUCGGAUCGUAAAGUUCUGUUGUAAGAGAAGAACG